CGCCUUGCCAGCCCGCUCAGAACUCAAAGGAAUUGACGGGGGCCCGCACAAGCGGUGGAGCAUGUGGUUUAAUUCGAUGAUACGCGAGGAACCUUACCUGGGCUCGAACGUAAGAUGACUGUAGGUGAAAGCUUACAUCUCUUCGGAGCAUUUUACGAGGUGCUGCAUGGUUGUCGUCAGCUCGUGCCGUGAGGUGUCGGGUUAAGUCCCAUAACGAGCGCAACCCCUACCUUUAGUUGCCAUCAGGUUAAGCUGGGGACUCUAAAGGAACUGCCUACGCAAGUAGUGAGGAAGGCGGGGAUGACGUCAAAUCAGCACGGCCCUUACGUCCAGGGCUACACACGUGCUACAAUGGCCGAUACAGAGGGCAGCUACCUGGUGACAGGAUGCAAAUCUCCAAAGUCGGUCUCAGUUCGGAUCGGAGUCUGCAACCCGACUCCGUGAAGUUGGAUUCGCUAGUAAUCGCGCAUCAGCCAUGGCGCGGUGAAUACGUUCCCGGGCCUU
rnacentral:rRNA from 1 species